UCUGAAGUGGUGAGAUUAAAAGUAU
rnacentral:piRNA from 1 species